rnacentral:rRNA from 1 species
GGAUUGGCAUGCAAGUCGAACGAGAAAGCUCCCUUCGGGGAGUGAGUAUAGUGGCGAACGGGUGAGUAACGCGUGGGAAACCUGCCCCUCAGUGGGGGAUAACAGUUCUAACGGACUGCUAAUACCGCAUAUCGCCUAGCGAUCACAUGAUCGAAAGGUGAAAGGUGGCCUCUACAUGUAAGCUGCCGCUGGGGGAUGGUCCCGCGUCCCAUUAGCUUGUUGGUAGGGUAACGGCCUACCAAGGCGACGAUGGGUAGCCGGCCUGAGAGGGUGUCCGGCCACACUGGGACUGAGAUACGGCCCAGACUCCUACGGGAGGCAGCAGUCGAGAAGCUUCGGCAAUGGGCGAAAGCCUGACCGAGCGACGCCGCGUGAGCGAUGAAGGCCUUACAGGUUGUAAAGCUCUGUCAGAUUGGGAAGAAAACUCCGGGAUUAAUACCUCCGGAGCUUGACGGUACCAUCAGAGGAAGCACCGGCUUAACUCCGUGCCAGCAGCCGCGGUAAUACGG